GAAAACAUUGGUUGGAGAAAGCUUCAUUGCGGCAUUGCCACACAUAUUAGGCUAUAGAGGGAUCUUUCUUUUUUAUCGUGAUGUCCUCCAACGUGCCUGUUGUGACAUUCUCCAACGUCUUGUAGAACUCCUCGGGCAGAGGACCAGGUCGAUGUAGAGGCACGUGUCUGGGAACUGGUGCAUCAUUCUCUAUAACUUCACACUCAUAGUCUUCAGGUACGCCCCAUGGAUCCCACUCUGAUCCAGAAAGGUAGACUAUUAGAAACACAGAUAUAUAAAUUUCUGAUAGAAUACAAGGGUUCAUUAGUUUGUUACUUUGUUGCAUUUCCAAGUUUAAAGUAAUGCAAUGUAGAGCUACACUAAACCAACAAGAAUGACCAAAAAAAACACUUUUAGAAUGAAAUAAACUAAUAGUUCAACAUAUGAGGGCAAAUUAAAACAUAAUUGGGGGUCAUGGGGCUUUUAUCUUAUAUAUAGGUUAUAUGUCGCUUGACAGUGCAGAGUGAAAUUUUCAGCUUUUGCUUCAGGAAACAAUUUUUCCCAUGGUAAUCUUUAAAACCAGGCCUUAGUUUCCAACCAGGCACGGGAAGACUGCUUGAGCCCAUAGAUGGCUUUUUUGAAAGUCCACAAACCUUAUUAAACCCUUCUUAACACAAACCAACAAAGGUGAGCACUCCCCCCUGCUAUAUAGGUACGGACUUGCAUGCAGUAUCACUUGCCUAAUAGCUGCCAAAGCGGAAGCUUCAAUUUUGACGGGCUUUAUUUUUUGUCAAGUAACAUUGACGGGCUUAUUCAAAAGAUUUUAAUAAUUAAGUUGACAAAUUUCCUGACUUAAAAAUAUGCCACCAAUUUUCAACUAUUGCUAAAAGGUCUCUGGACUUCUGGGAAGCAUUUUCAAUGGAUAUACAAAAACAAAUAAAAUUAUGUGUAAUGUUCAUAGCAUGUAAAACUCGUAUCCUGUAUAUGUAUAUAUGUAUUGCAUUAUAAACUUGACAAUUAGAAUUUUCUUUCAAAAUAAGAAAGAACGAAAAACAAAUUAACAACCCACACUUUCUCAGAGCUAUCAACUUCCACACGUCUAAGCUUUUGAGGGAAUUUAAGCACUAAUUAAUAGGUCAAUGUGCCUCUUCUCUAAGAUUGACCAUAGAUAAUAAGCACUGAGCAUGACAGUCUUAAGAAUUAAUUUUAACUUUUAUUCCUUCCAACCCAAGGGAUGGUGAUUGCAUAAAUUUUGGAUAGAAUAUAGCAUUUACAAGAGAGAACUUGGGACAACUUCUGUUAUAAAAAUGCAUUGUGCUUUCAUGAGAAAAGAACUCGGAAAUAAUAAAAGUUGGCGUGAAGAUCAUAUAUACAGAAAUAUAAGCUUUCACCACAAAGACACCAACAUGUAUCUUAGACCUUAAUUCACAACUAUACCACUUGAUGAGAUCAUUACAAACAAUAAUUACACACACAAGUGUUGCUUGCCUGGUCUGGUCCAAAAUAUCGCUUAAUCUAAGCAAUAUUAGUAGCUAAUCUUAAUAUUGAUAUUUGAUACAUUGCAAUAACAUUGAACCUCUGAUGUUUUACAAGAAACAUUUCCUAUCACCUCCCACUUUGAUGUCUACUAUAGCUUUCAGCUCCCAUUAUUACCUUCAACUUUGGUUUAAAAAUUUUGAUAUUAAAAUUUAUUUAUUUUUAAAUGUAUUUCAUCUGGUCUGCUAGAAAGUACAUGAUCCUGCGCAUGUGUCAACAUAAGUAACUAACUAAGGUCCGCUUUUAGCUGCAAACUUAUAAUACAAAACCAACAUCAUUUUUGUUGUCAAUGUGAACUUAUUAAGCACGGUACACAUAUUCAAACCCAGAAUCUGCAACAUUUGAUGAUUUGAACACAACUAACAUGUCAAUUCAUGACACUCUGGCAAAUUUAAUCUAUGCAAUGGAAUAUCAAAAUGAAAUUCAAUGCAACGAAUAUGAAGUACCCAAUCAAAUAUUCAAAUAAAUAAAGAAUUAAUGGGGAAAAUACAGAAUAUACAUACCGAUCAUUUUAUCGAUAAGCUUGAGCUCAUCCUCCGCCUCUUCAAUGAGCUCCUCAACCUGUCCGCAACCAAGACGCUUCUCGAUCGCUCCCCAAUCAUUCUCCUCCUGACAAACCUUGAGCCGGUGGCGCGUGAAGCUCUCCACAGCUUUCCUGUAGCCCUCGUCCUCAGGAACCGCCUGGAUCUCCUUCAGCGUUUUGCUGUACAGGCCAAUCAACACCUCUCUAGCAUUUGGGACAACAUCUAGCCCUACAAUCCCUGUAGUCUCCUUCACCCUCGNAUUAUAACACUCUUCACAAGACCUGAGCAUAAAACAGUACACAUGGUUUCUUGACCAAAUAUCCUCCGAGAGGAGAAAACAUUGGUUGGAGAAAGCUUCAUUGCGGCAUUGCCACACAUAUUAGGCUAUAGAGGGAUCUUUCUUUUUUAUCGUGAUGUCCUCCAACGUGCCUGUUGUGACAUUCUCCAACGUCUUGUAGAACUCCUCGGGCAGAGGACCAGGUCGAUGUAGAGGCACGUGUCUGGGAACUGGUGCAUCAUUCUCUAUAACUUCACACUCAUAGUCUUCAGGUACGCCCCAUGGAUCCCACUCUGAUCCAGAAAGGUAGACUAUUAGAAACACAGAUAUAUAAAUUUCUGAUAGAAUACAAGGGUUCAUUAGUUUGUUACUUUGUUGCAUUUCCAAGUUUAAAGUAAUGCAAUGUAGAGCUACACUAAACCAACAAGAAUGACCAAAAAAAACACUUUUAGAAUGAAAUAAACUAAUAGUUCAACAUAUGAGG
rnacentral:lncRNA from 1 species